rnacentral:rRNA from 1 species
ACCUACGGCCACACCGAACUGAACACACCUGAUCCCGUCGGAUCUCAGAAACUAAGCGGCCCCAGGCCCGGCUAGUACCUGGAUGGGAGACCACCUGGGAAUCCCGGGUGCUGUAAACU